UGCUAUACAUGCAGUCGACGAACUCUGGUAUUGAUUGGUGCUUGCAUCAUGAUUUACAUUUGAGUGAGUGGCGAACUGGUGAGUAACACGUGGGAAACCUGCCCAGAAGCGGGGGAUAACACCUGGAAACAGAUGCUAAUACCGCAUAACAACUUGGACCGCAUGGUCCGAGCUUGAAAGAUGGCUUUGGCUAUCACUUUUGGAUGGUCCCGCGGCGUAUUAGCUAGAUGGUGGGGUAACGGCUCACCAUGGCAAUGAUACGUAGCCGACCUGAGAGGGUAAUCGGCCACAUUGGGACUGAGACACGGCCCAAACUCCUACGGGAGGCAGCAGUAGGGAAUCUUCCACAAUGGACGAAAGUCUGAUGGAGCAACGCCGCGUGAGUGAAGAAGGGUUUCGGCUCGUAAAACUCUGUUGUUAAAGAAGAACAUAUCUGAGAGUAACUGUUCAGGUAUUGACGGUAUUUAACCAGAAAGCCACGGCUAACUACGUGCCAGCAGCCGCGGUAAUACGUAGGUGGCAAGCGUUGUCCGGAUUUAUUGGGCGUAAAGCGAGCGCAGGCGGUUUUUUAAGUCUGAUGUGAAAGCCUUCGGCUCAACCGAAGAAGUGCAUCGGAAACUGGGAAACUUGAGUGCAGAAGAGGACAGUGGAACUCCAUGUGUAGCGGUGAAAUGCGUAGAUAUAUGGAAGAACACCAGUGGCGAAGGCGGCUGUCUGGUCUGUAACUGACGCUGAGGCUCGAAAGUAUGGGUAGCAAACAGGAUUAGAUACCCUGGUAGUCCAUACCGUAAACGAUGAAUGCUAAGUGUUGGAGGGUUUCCGCCCUUCAGUGCUGCAGCUA
rnacentral:rRNA from 1 species